UUAAAAGGGCUGAUGUGCACCUUAAAAACCAACAUUCAAAAGGCUGAACUGUGCCCUUUAAAAAGUCAAAUAUGCCUGGACCACAUAUUACUGACAAAAAUACUGCUAACAUUGUUCCUUCUCGGAAGACUAGCCAUUGACUCUUGCAAGUCAUCCUUUUCAAAGUCAAUUUCAUUAACAUUAGUGUCCUUUUUACAUAGCAGUUUAGCGUCAGAAUAACUUAUGCGAC